CUUGAGCGAGCCGAGCAGCAGCGGCCGGUUCGCCGGGCGUCCUUGGCCGUAGGUGGCGAGCAGUGCCUGCGCCUC
rnacentral:antisense_RNA from 2 species